ACUUUUAGACGGAGCCAAGGCUGCCUGUUUCCCUGUUUCCAGUCUUUAUGCUCAGCUCAUAGAUAGAGAGCAAAUUUCCCAAAAAUGUUGGUCUAUUUCUUAAAGGAAAUCACCAAAUAGGAUACAACAUGUCAAUGUUAGGGUGUUUGGGCAUUACAGCAGUCCUUUUGAGAUGCUUUGUUUUAUAGCACUUUGUUGAUUUAGUCAGACACAGGUUGCACAAUUAUUAUUAUAAUUGUUCCUCAUUUGUAUUGUGAAUUGUGCGGUUAAUACACACAGCUAUACUCAUUAUUCUAAUUGUUGUUAUAUCUUGGCCUGUUUAAACCACUGUUGUCUGGCUGUAUCAAGCAGUGUCUGCCUGUCUUAAUAGGAACUAGUUACCAAGAUAUCGUUGCAGCGAGCCACCACAGAGCAGCUCCUCACUGAGUUGACCCAGCAAGAGGAACUGGCCAAGCAGGAGGCCAACACCCUGACGGAACUGGAGCUGCAGUUUGAUAAGCUGAAGGGGGAAAGGCAGGCAGCGCUGAAUCAGGAAGUGUGCCGUGUUGAAGCACUGCAGGCCGAGCUGCAGCAGUGUCAGGACCUGCUGAACACUGUGGAGCAGGGGGUCGACAACGUCUACCUCAGGAUGAGCUGCGUUCCUGUGGAGGGGCUGCCAAGUGCAUCCAGUACUGAGAGCAUAGACAAAUUGAGGGACGUCAGCCUCCGCCUGCCAACAUUACUGCAAAGAGCAUCGCAGCACAAACCUGAGACCAGCGGCCUGGACCAAGAGAGGCUCAACAGGAUGGAGUCGAGGAACAUUAGCAGACCAAGCACCCCGAUACACUCUCCCCCUCUCAGUGAUGAUGAGAAAGUGCUGUCCAUCCUGCGAGAAAAUCAAGCGCCGCAGCCUCAGACUGAUUGAAUCUGAGCAGAACAAGCAGUCGUCGAGGAGAGCCAGGAGGAAGCAGUAGAUACACCACACAGUGGCUAUGAUGAGACGCAUGCAAUAAACAAGAGAACAUACUUUUCAAUUCCUUUUCUAUUCUGGACUAAAUUACUGUUACAGUAAGUGCAAUAAUGGUAUUAAUGUGAAUUAUUUUGGGCUGGUACACGGUUAAUACCCCUCCACAAAUAUACUUCUUACAUUCAGCAAAAUGUGUACACAUGAGCAAGGCACAAAGACAACCUUAGGUGAGAACUUAAAACUGCAGAGCAGAUAUUGGACCACUUGGUGGGAGCAUUUUGU
rnacentral:lncRNA from 1 species